UACAUGCAAGUCGAGCGCGGGAAGCGAGUGGAUCCCUUCGGGGUGAAGCUCGUGGAACGAGCGGCGGACGGGUGAGUAACACGUGGGCAACCUGCCUGUAAGAUCGGAAUAACCCCGGGAAACCGGGGCUAAUGCCGGGUAAUACUUUCUUUCGCAUGAAGGAAAGUUGAAAGAUGGCUUCUUGCUAUCACUUACAGAUGGGCCCGCGGCGCAUUAGCUAGUUGGUGAGGUAACGGCUCACCAAGGCGACGAUGCGUAGCCGACCUGAGAGGGUGAUCGGCCACACUGGGACUGAGACACGGCCCAGACUCCUACGGGAGGCAGCAGUAGGGAAUCUUCCGCAAUGGACGAAAGUCUGACGGAGCAACGCCGCGUGAACGAUGAAGGUCUUCGGAUCGUAAAGUUCUGUUGUUAGGGAAGAACAAGUACCGUGCGAAUAGAGCGGUACCUUGACGGUACCUAACGAGGAAGCCCCGGCUAACUACGUGCCAGCAGCCGCGGUAAUACGUAGGGGGCAAGCGUUGUCCGGAAUUAUUGGGCGUAAAGCGCGCGCAGGCGGUUCCUUAAGUCUGAUGUGAAAGCCCACGGCUCAACCGUGGAGGGUCAUUGGAAACUGGGGGAACUUGAGGACAGAAGAGGAGAGUGGAAUUCCACGUGUAGCGGUGAAAUGCGUAGAUAUGUGGAGGAACACCAGUGGCGAAGGCGACUCUCUGGUCUGUU
rnacentral:rRNA from 1 species